GGAUGUGAGGGCCAGCUGGCUGGCACACUUGUUACCCUAGUGAUCACCAAAGUUGACCUGGCUGACAAGGCAGGUGACCCCCUUAGUCCCACCACCCCACGUGUGUGUUUUCCUUUCUGCUUUUGCACGCUCUUGGUUCCCCAGGGCCCAAGCUCUCUCUCCUCUGAGGGACCUCCAUGAGCGGAAAGCAUUUUUCCCGAGCUCAUAGAG
rnacentral:sRNA from 1 species